rnacentral:rRNA from 1 species
GACGAACGCUGGCGGCGUGCUUAACACAUGCAAGUCGAACGGAAAGGCCCUGCUUUUGUGGGGUGCUCGAGUGGCGAACGGGUGAGUAACACGUGAGUAACCUGCCCUUGACUUUGGGAUAACUUCAGGAAACUGGGGCUAAUACCGGAUAGGAGCUCCUGCUGCAUGGUGGGGGUUGGAAAGUUUCGGCGGUUGGGGAUGGACUCGCGGCUUAUCAGCUUGUUGGUGGGGUAGUGGCUUACCAAGGCUUUGACGGGUAGCCGGCCUGAGAGGGGGACCGGCCACAUUGGGACUGAGAUACGGCCCAGACUCCUACGGGAGGCAGCAGUGGGGAAUAUUGCACAAUGGGCGGAAGCCUGAUGCAGCAACGCCGCGUGCGGGAUGACGGCCUUCGGGGUGUAAACCGCUUUCGCCUGUGACGAAGCGUGAGUGACGGUAAUGGGUAAAGAAGCACCGGCUAACUACGUG